rnacentral:sRNA from 1 species
ACCGGUCUUCUGUCAAUGGUAUACAAGUGGCUGCGCUCCCCUGCUAGAACCUCCAAACAAGCUCUCAAAAAUGAGGGAAAGUAUAGAGU